UACGGAGGAUGCGAGCGUUAUCCGGAUUCAUUGGGUUUAAAGGGUGCGUAGGCGGGAUAUUAAGUCAGUGGUGAAAUCCUGCAGCUUAACUGCAGAACCGCCGUUGAUACUGAUAGUCUUGAGUUUGGUUAAGGUAGGCGGAAUGUGUAAUGUAGCGGUGAAAUGCUUAGAUAUUACACAGAACACCAAUUGCGUAGGCAGCUUACUGAGCCGACACUGACGCUGAGGCACGAAAGCGUGGGGAUCAGACAGGA
rnacentral:rRNA from 1 species